UACAUUAUGGUGUAUUGGCACGUAAAUUUUUGAAGUUUAAGGGGAAGGUUCAUAUCCUUCUUGUGUAG
rnacentral:tRNA from 1 species